CCUACGGGUGGCAGCAGUGGGGAAUAUUGCACAAUGGGGGAAACCCUGAUGCAGCGACGCCGCGUGAGUGAAGAAGUAUUUCGGUAUGUAAAGCUCUAUCAGCAGGGAAGAAAAUGACGGUACCUGACUAAGAAGCCCCGGCUAACUACGUGGCAGCAGCCGCGGUAAUACGUAGGGGGCAAGCGUUAUCCGGAUUUACUGGGUGUAAAGGGAGCGUAGACGGCCAGACAAGUCAGAAGUGAAAGCCGAGGGCUCAACCCUGUGACUGCUGUUGAAACUGCCGGGCUUGAGUGCAGGAGAGGUACGCGGAAUUCGUGGUGUAGCGGUGAAAUGCGUAGAUAUUAGGAGGAACACCAGUGGCGAAGGCGGCUUACUGGCCUGUAACUGACGUUGAGGCUCGAAAGCGUGGGGAGCAAACAGGAUUAGAUACCCCAGUAGUC
rnacentral:rRNA from 1 species